rnacentral:misc_RNA from 1 species
AUCUUUAUUUAUUAUACAAUAUAAAAUGAUUCAAUUUAUAAAAGAGUGGGGGUUUUAAAUACAAGUUUUCGCGAGACCAUGAUCAAAGAUCAGGACCGCUAAAAAUUGGUAAUGAUCCUUCCGCAGGUUCACCUACGGAAA